GACGAACGCUGGCGGCGUGCUUAACACAUGCAAGUCGAACGGAAAGGCCCUGCUUUUGUGGGGUGCUCGAGUGGCGAACGGGUGAGUAACACGUGAGUAACCUGCCCUUGACUUUGGGAUAACUUCAGGAAACUGGGGCUAAUACCGGAUAGGAGCUCCUGCUGCAUGGUGGGGGUUGGAAAGUUUCGGCGGUUGGGGAUGGACUCGCGGCUUAUCAGCUUGUUGGUGGGGUAGUGGCUUACCAAGGCUUUGACGGGUAGCCGGCCUGAGAGGGUGACCGGCCACAUUGGGACUGAGAUACGGCUCAGACUCCUACGGGAGGCAACAGUGGGGAAUAUUGCACAAUGGGCGGAAGCCUGAUGCAGCAACGCCGCGUGCGGGAUGACGGCCUUCGGGUUGUAAACCGCUUUCGCCUGUGACGAAGCGUGAGUGACGGUAAUGGGUAAAGAAGCACCGGCUAACUACGU
rnacentral:rRNA from 1 species